CCAGAGAUCCAGGGGAGCUACAGCUGCUCUGGGCAGCCUGUGCCAGGAGCUGCCCACCCUCGGAGGGAGGAAUUCCUGCCUUCUCCAGGGCCGUGGGGUUUGAAUCCCACUGUGCUGGGAUGCUGGGAGCUGUCCCAGGGAGAGGCUGAUGUUGCAGAGAGGGACAAACCCUGGCUGUGGUCCAUGAGGUGACUCUUUUGCCAAGAUGUGCUUAGGAACAUCUUCCACUCUGGAGUCAUCACUGAGGACUUUGCUACUCGAAAUCCUUGUUUUGAAGCAUUUUUC
rnacentral:lncRNA from 12 species